rnacentral:rRNA from 1 species
CCUACGGGAGGCAGCAGUAGGGAAUAUUGCUCAAUGGGCGAAAGCCUGAAGCAGCAACGCCGCGUGGAGGAUGAAGGUCUUCGGAUUGUAAACCCCUUUUGUUAGAGAAGAUAAUGACGGUAUCUAACGAAUAAGCACUGGCCAACUCCGUGCCAGCAGCCGCGGUAAAACGGAGGGUGAAAGCGUUACGCGGAAUCACUGGGCGUAAAGGGCGCGUAGGCGGGAUAGCAAGUCAGAUGUGAAAUCCUAUGGCUUAACUAUAGAACUGCAUUUGAAACUGUUAUUCUAGAGUAUGGGAGAGGUAGGUGGAAUUCGUGGUGUAGCGGUAAAAUCCGUAGAGAUCAAGAAGAAUACUCAUUGCGAAGGCGGCCUGCUAGAACAUAACUGACGCUGAUGCGCGAAAGCGUGGGGAGCAAACAGGAUUAGAUACCCCAGUAGUC